rnacentral:rRNA from 1 species
CGGCGCACGGGUGAGUAACACGUGGGUAAUCUACCUCGAGGAUUGGAAUAACAUGUCGAAAGACGUGCUAAUGCCAAGUAAGUUUUUCGAAUCGUAAUGAUUUGAUCUAGAAAGGUGGCGCAAGCUACCGCCUUGAGAUGAGCCUGCGCUCCAUUAGCUAGUUGGUGAGGUAAAAGCUUACCAAGGCUACGAUGGAUAGCUGGUCUGAGAGGAUGACCAGCCACACUGGAACUGAAACACGGUCCAGACUCCUACGGGAGGCAGCAGUAGGGAAUAUUGCGCAAUGGGGGAAACCCUGACGCAGCCACGCCGUGUGAGUGAGGAAGGCCUUCGGGUCGUAAAGCUCUGUCAUUUGGGAAGAAACUCCAUCCGGGGAAAGUUCGGGUGGAUUGACGGUACCAAAGAAGGAAGCACCGGCUAACUCUGUGCCAGCAGCCGCGGUAAUACAGAGGGUGCAAGCGUUGUACGGAAUUACUGGGCGUAAAGCGUCUGUAGGCGGUGCUGAGAGUCCUAGGUGAAAUCCCCGAGCUUAACUCGGGAACUGCCUCGGAGACCUCAGUACUUGAGUACGAAAGGGGUUGCUGGAAUUCCAUGUGUAGCGGUGAAAUGCGUAGAUAUAUGGAGGAACACCUGUGGCGAAGGCGGGCAACUGGUUCGAGACUGACGCUGAGAGACGAAAGCGUGGGGAGCAAACAGGAUUAGAUACCCUGGUAGUCCACGCCGUAAACGAUGCAUACAAGUCGUAGCUGGGAUUGACUCCGGCUGUGACGAAGCUAACGCAAGUAGUAUGCCGCCUGGGGAGUACGGUCGCAAGACUAAAACUCAAAGGAAUUGANGNGGGCCCGCACAAGCGGNNNNUUAUGUGGUUUAAUUCGAAGCAACGCGAAGAACCUUACCUGGAUUUGACAUCCUACGACCGCUGGAGAAAUCUAGUUUUGUCGCAAGACACGUAGAGACAGGUGCUGCAUGGCUGUCGUCAGCUCGUGUUGUGAAAUGUUGGGUUAAGUCCCGCAACGAGCGCAACCCCUGUGAUUAGUUGCCAGCAUUAAGUUGGGCACUCUAAUCAGACUGCCAGCGUUAAGCUGGAGGAAGGUGGGGACGACGUCAAGUCCUCAUGGCCCUUACAUCCAGGGCUACACACGUAAUACGAUGGGUAG